ensembl:lncRNA
UGGCAUCGUUACAUAUACUUGAGCAGUAGAACCUGUCUCUUGAUGAUCUAUGCUUGCACACUGCCAGAGGCAUCUUGUCUACAUCUCUGUUGCAGACAUAACCCACAUUUCUCCAAACAUAGCCCAUCCUCUGUAUCUUUUAAGUUCUCUUCUUCCAGCUCAUUAUCCAUCUAAACCUAGGACAUAAAAUUGAAGCCACUCCCAUACUUCCAAGAUUUCCAGAGGCAACAAUGACCACUGUAGCUUGCAGUGGUCAUGAAUGACAACUGUUUCUGUGAAGCAUCUAAGACUAAUCUUGAGAAGAAAUUGAAUAUAUCUCAUCCUCAGUCUCACCUCAGUGUAUAGAUUCUUCUACGUCAUCUACAUCCUGGCAUUCUAACAGGAGAAAAGUGAAUAACUUUUAAUUCUUUUAGAAUGCAGAUAGGGUAGUUUCCCAGAAUUAGCGGGGAAAAGAUGAGGUUCAUUGUUUUCAAGACAAAGAGGUCUGGAUAUUGAUUUUCAUGCCAAGAAGGUUUUGCUCAAAGGGUCAGCACAUGAAAUAUUUCUCUCACAGUAUGCCAUUGUCAAAUAGAGUUUAUGGGUAUUACUGUGUCAUUGUUGGGAACUGGAUUGCACAUGUACUAGGACCUCCCUAAUUUGACCGUCCCUGUUGGAAUUUAUUUGCAGCAAAAGAAAUGACGCAAAUGAAGGGUGGUUGCUGGGACUUAAUCUGCCCCAGCAGGAUCAGUGGGUGCUUUCCACCUCAAGUAGAGCCUGAGUUGGUACCAGGGCUGAUCAUGGGUGAAUAUUGUUGGUGCAUUGUCAUGAAAGCCAAGCUGGCUAUGCAGCAGCAUUAUCCUGGUGGUGGCUGGACGAUAGUGCUGGAAGAGUACUCGUGGUGCACAAGGUUUGGAGUCUAUGGGAAUUCCCUUGAGGACAGAGUGCCACAUGAAGCCAAACCUGCAUUGUGUGAAAACCGAUCUCUAGCUGAAGGGCAUCGCAUCACAGCAUGCACACACCUUGCAGAUGCACCUUACAUGUGGCAUGCCUCCUGGGGGGACAAGCUGGAAAUACUGUCCCAGGCCUGGGCCAGGGUCCAGCAGCCCUUAGCCCAGCAGUCCAUCCACUGGAUAGAGGCCAUUGAGGGGUAUGAUACCUCCUCCCAAAAGGAUGAAGUGGUAUCUGCAGACAGAGCUGAGGUUAUCCCCAGGGUGUGUGGAGAUCCACCCCCACUGGAAGGGCCAGAUGCCAUCGUGCCUAUCCUCAAGGAUGAUGGGUCCUACAUGCUCUGUGGAUACUGGGCAGAUGAACCUGAAGCACCAGCCCAGGCCUGGGCUAGGGCCUGGCACUUUACAACCCAGCAACCCCUCUGCUGUGCUGAGGCCAUUGUGGUGGAAGACUCCUCAAACAAAAAGGAGAAAGUCAAGGGGGCAUCCUCAGAUCAGGCUGAGGCUAUGUCCAGGGUGGGUGAAGAUCCACCCCCACUGGAAGGGCCAGAUGUCAUCACACCUAUCCUCAAGGAUGAUGGGUCCUACAUGCUCUGUGGAUUUUGGGCAGAUGAUCCUGAAGCACCAGUCCAGGCCUGUGCUGAGCCCUGGUACCUUACAACCCAGAAGCCCAUUUGCUGUGCUGAAGCCAUUGCGGUGGAAGAGCCUUCCUGCAAAAAGGAGGAAGGGGACUCAGCAUCUGCAGAGCAGGCCGAGGCUAUACCCAGGGUGUGUGGAGAUCCACCCCCACUGGAAGGGCCAGAUGCCAUCGUGCCUAUCCUCAAGGAAGAUGGAUCCUACCUGCUCUGUGGAUAUUGGGCUGAUGAGCCUGAAGCACCAGUCCAGGCCUGGGCUGGGGCCUGGCACUUUACAACCCAGCAGCCCAUCUGCAGUGCUGAGGACACUUUGGUGGAAGAGCCCUCAUUUCAAGAGGAGGAAGGUGUGGUGGCACCUGCAGACCAGGCUGAGGCUAAUCAGAGCCUCUGCUCUGCAUCACACCUCGGGGUGUGUGAAGAUCCACCCCCACUGGAAGGGCCAGAUGUCAUUGUGCCUAUUCUCAAGGAUGAUGGGUCCUACAUGCUCUGUGCAAUUUGGAUGGAUGAUCCUGAAGCACCAGUCCAGGCCUGGGCUGGAGCCUGGCACCCUACAACCCAGCAGCCCAUCUGCUGUGCUGAGGCCAUUGUGGUGAAAGAUGCCACCUACCAAAAAGAGAAAGUCAUGUUGGCAACUGCUGAUUGGGCUGAGGCUACCUCCAGGGUGAGUGGAGAUCCACCCCCACUGGAAGGGCCAGAUGCCAUCGUGCCCAUCCUCAAGGAUGAUGGGUCCUACAUGCUCUGUGCAUAUUGGGCUGAUGAGCCUGAAGCCCCAGUCCAGGCCUGGGCUGGGGCCCUGCACCCUAUAAUCCAGCAGCCCAUCUGCUGUGCGGAGGCCAUUGUGGUGGAAGAUGCCUCCAGCCAGAAGGAGAAAAUAGAGGUGGCAUUUGCAGAGCAGACUGAGGCCACACCCAGGGUGGGUGAAGAUCCACCCCCACUGGAAGGGCCAGAUGUCAUCGUGCCUAUCCUCAAGGAUGACGGAUCCUACCUGCUCUGUGCAUAUUGGGCAGAUGAGCCUGAAGCCCCAGUCCAGGCCUGGGCUGGGGCCCUGCACCCUACAGCCCAGCAGCCCACCUGCUGUGCUGAGGCCAUUCUCGUGGAAGAGCCCUCAUCACAAGAGGAGGAAGGGAAAGUGGCACGUGCAGACCAGGCCGAGGCUAAUCAGAGGGUGUGUGGAGAUCCACCCCCACUGGAAGGGCCAGAUGUCAUUGUGCCUAUCCUCAAGGAUGAUGGUUCCUAUGUGCUCUGUGCAUAUUGGGCAGAUGAGCCUGAAGCACCAGCCCAGGUCUGGGCUGAGGCCUGGCAUGCAAAAACCCAGCAGUCCAUCUGCUGUGCUGAGGCUUUUUGGGUGCUAAGAACUUCCUCUGGUGGAUACCAUGAAACCUGA